rnacentral:rRNA from 1 species
GACGAACGCUGGCGGCGUGCUUAACACAUGCAAGUCGAGCGGUAAGGCCCUUUCGGGGGUACGACGAGCGGCGAACGGGUGAGUAACACGUGGGUGACCUGCCCUCAGCUCUGGGAUAAGCCUGGGAAACCGGGUCUAAUACUGGAUAUGACUCCAUGACGCAUGUUGUGGGGUGGAAAGCCUUGUGCGGCUGAGGAUGGGCCCGCGGCCUAUCAGCUUGUUGGUGGGGUGAGGCCUACCAAGGCGACGACGGGUAGCCGGCCUGAGAGGGCGACCGGCCACACUGGGACUGAGACACGGCCCAGACUCCUACGGGAGGCAGCAGUGGGGAAUCUUGCGCAAUGGGCGAAAGCCUGACGCAGCGACGCCGCGUGAGGGAUGACGGCCUG